CUGCUGUGGUGGCAGCGACGACGGCGGGAGACUGGAGACGCAGGGUCGGAACUGCGUGGUGGGCGGGGCCCGGCCUUGUGCAGGGUCCGGCAGAUACUAGAAUGUGUCCCUCCAGCUGGGCCUGAGGCGUCCGAGUCAACCGUGGAGGAAAACGAAGAUGACAUCCAGUUUGUGAGUGUAAGUAGCAGCGGUAUUUGGGUUUUUCCGAGUCAGGGUUUGUGCGUGACGAGCCGCGAUGUGAUUACCCCUCGCCUGUUCACUCUUCGUCCGGCAAACGUGUGGACGUCUCAUACCGACUGGAGACUGAGGAGCAGGACACAGGAGUGGGUGUCAGACCGGACACCGUGGAGCAGGCACAGGAGUAGAGCGUUUGCCCACAGAGAGAUCUCGGCCGCCCCCGCAGCCAUCGCAGAGACUGUGGCCUUUGGCCUGUUGGAGCCUGGAUCACACCUUCCCCUCUCCUUUGCACGUGGACCCGCUGGUGUGCGCAGGGUUCUCCUAAGACUGUGUUUGAAUUGAGACCAGAGUAACUUCUGAAAGAUGGCCCCCAGGUUGGGGAGAAGGGGCAGCUAGUGAUGAGGAAGGAGGUAGAAGAGAAGGAGGCGGGCUGCCGGAGGUCAGCAUCAGAGCCUGUGUGUGUCUGUAGGGUGGGGGCAGGUGCCCUGAAGACCUCACUGAGCUCUGAGCUCACCCUGCUACAUCACAGUCCCGCAGGCCAGGUUCACAGUGAGGGGCCUGCAUCACAGGAGCAUCCUGUUAUCUUUCUGUGUUUAUUUCCUUCUGACAGUUUUCAAGCAUGAGUGAGUGGAAGUGUGCAGAAUCCUGCUCCCCACUCCAGACCUAUGGAAUCAGGAUUUGUAGGUGGGGCCCAGGAAUCUUCAUGUUGGUUCAGGGGUGUAGGAAGCUGUGAACACAGUUAGUAAAACAUUAGUUGCAAUAACCAAAGGGGGUGUUGUGAUAUAUUUCAGGAUAAUUUCCAUCCCCAACUUUUUUUUUCCCAAACUGUUACAAAGUCUCUAUUUAAAGUAGUAUCUUAAUUAGCUAGAGAAUGUGUCUACUGUGAACUACUCUUUUUGAAUAUUAUAGUUAGUUGAGGUUUGCUAUUAAAAAUGUAUAGUCUUUCUUGAACUGGGUUCCUGUUAACCCAGAAACACAAUGUUUGUGUGUUUCUUAGUUGCUGUAGACUUAGGGCAGCCAUGUAAAUGACUUGGUUUUAAAUCAAACAAAAUUCCCUCUCUAAGGAUUGUGGUAACUUUGGUUUUGUUGUUUUCUUAGGGUUAUAUAGAAAUUCUUUACCAGACCAUUUCUUUUACAUUCUUCCCCAAAAUCAUUCAUGUGAUACUCUUCUUGACACUUGGAACUUUGCGGUACCAAGAACUAUAUGCUGACUUCGCCUCCCCAUGUGGUGAGGAAUAAAUGAUGUAGCUGUGGAAA